CUUUAUGCUCCCUCGCGACUAAUGGAAACACAGAAAAAUUUAUGUGCUUUCAUUAGCCGCGCGAACCUCAGCAAUAAAGACUAUUAAAAGCAACAAUACAUUACUUUCUGGUUAAUUGCUGCUUUUGAGUUGAAAAAAGGGGCCUCUGGAGGCCCCUUUUU
rnacentral:sRNA from 1 species